rnacentral:tmRNA from 1 species
GGGGGCGUACCGGUUUCGACGGGGGUUUUGCACCAUGAUAAGCGGGCAGAGGCGCUGCAUCCUCUUUAAAAGCGGCACGUUUAAAUAUAAACGCUAAAAACAACAUUUCUGUUUCCUACAACAAGAACGCAGUAGCACUCGCUGCUUAAGUUCUGUUGUUUUAAACAGCCUGCGGCAUGAGUCCGCAGGUGUCCUCUGUGAGAGUACCACGGCUUACAGUUGGGCAUCGAUGAGUGGUGAACGUUCUGGCGGCCUGUUCACACCGUAAGAAUGUAUUUGAACUACUUUCAUAAACAGCCUGUUUGUCGGCGGUGUAUGAAAGGAAUUUUAAAAGAUAAACUACGCCCGUAGAAAGUCAUGAGAAUAGGCUUUCGGACAGGAGUUCGAUUCUCCUCGCCUCCACU